GGCAGUUUGGCCGAGUGGUCUAAGGCGAUUGACUGUUUGUAACCCCACAUGACUUCCUUCCACCAGAAACAACCACUAACUCCCACUUCAGCGAAUGGUUGCAAUCUUGAAUUGUUCACCCGAUAUCAAUUCUCUUCGGAGGCGCAGGUUCGAAUCCUGCAGCUGUCG
rnacentral:tRNA from 1 species